AAUCUGGGGCUUAACCCCAGACCUGCAUUCGAUACGGGCGAGCUAGAGUGUGGUAGGGGAGACUGGAAUUCCUGGUGUAGCGGUGGAAUGCGCAGAUAUCAGGAGGAACACCAAUGGCGAAGGCAGGUCUCUGGGCCAUUACUGACACUGAGGAGCGAAAGCGUGGGGAGCGAACAGGAUUAGAUACCCUGGUAGUCCACGCCGUAAACGGUGGGCACUAGUUGUGGGAACCUUCCACGUUCUCUGCGCCGCAGCUAACGCAUUAAGCGUCCCGCCUGGGGAGUACGAUCGCAAGAUUAAAACUCAAAGGAAUUGACGGGGCCCCGCACAAGCAGCGGAGCAUGCGGCUUAAUUCGACGCAACGCGAAGAACCUUACCAAGGCUUGACAUAUACAGGAAUAUGGCAGAAAUGUUAUAGCCGCAAGGUCUGUAUACAGGUGGUGCAUGGUUGUCGUCAGCUCGUGUCGUGAGAUGUUGGGUUAAGUCCCGCAACGAGCGCAACCCUCGUUCUGUGUUGCCAGCAUUUAGUUGGGGACUCACAGGAGACUGCCGGGGUUAACUCGGAGGAAGGUGGGGAUGACGUCAAAUCAUCAUGCCCCUUAUGUCUUGGGCUGCACGCAUGCUACAAUGGCUGGUACAAACGGCUGCGAUACCGCAAGGUGGAGCGAAUCCGAUAAAGCCAGUCUCAGUUCGGAUUGGGGUCUGCAACUCGACCCCAUGAAGUCGGAGUUGCUAGUAAUCGUAGAUCAGCAACGCUACGGUGAAUACGUUCCCGGGGCUUGUACACACCGCCCGUCACGUCACGAAAGUCGGUAACACCCGAAGUCAGUGGCCCAACCGUAAGGGGGGAGCUGCCGAAGGUGGGAUCGGUGAUUGGGACG
rnacentral:rRNA from 1 species